rnacentral:tRNA from 1 species
UUAAUUGAAACCAAAAAAGAGGUAAAUUAUUGUUAAUAAUUUAAUUGAAAUUAUUUUCCAAUUGAA